rnacentral:rRNA from 1 species
GACGAACGCUGGCGGCGUGCCUAAUACAUGCAAGUUGAGCGAUGAAGAUUGGUGCUUGCACCAAUUUGAAGAGCAGCGAACGGGUGAGUAACGCGUGGGGAAUCUGCCUUUGAGCGGGGGACAACAUUUGGAAACGAAUGCUAAUACCGCAUAAUAACUUUAAACAUAAGUUUUAAGUUUGAAAGAUGCAAUUGCAUCACUCAAAGAUGAUCCCGCGUUGUAUUAGCUAGUUGGUGAGGUAAAGGCUCACCAAGGCGAUGAUACAUAGCCGACCUGAGAGGGUGAUCGGCCACAGUGGGACUGAGACACGGCCCAAACUCCUACGGGAGGCAGCAGUAGGGAAUCUUCGGCAAUGGACGAAAGUCUGACCGAGCAACGCCGCGUGAGUGAAGAAGGUUGUCGGAUCGUAAAACUCUGUUGGUAGAGAAGAACGUUGGUGAGAGUGGAAAGCUCAUCAAGUGACGGUAACUACCCAGAAAGGGACGGCUAACUACGUG